rnacentral:rRNA from 1 species
GACGAACGCUGGCGGCGUGCUUAACACAUGCAAGUCGAACGGAAAGGCCCUGCUUUUGUGGGGUGCUCGAGUGGCGAACGGGUGAGUAACACGUGAGUAACCUGCCCUUGACUUUGGGAUAACUUCAGGAAACUGGGGCUAAUACCGGAUAGGAGCUCCUGCUGCAUGGUGGGGGUUGGAAAGUUUCGGCGGUUGGGGAUGGACUCGCGGCUUAUCAGCUUGUUGGUGGGGUAGUGGAUUACCAAGGCUUUGACGGGUAGCCGGCAUGGGAGGGGGACCGGCGACAUGGGGACUAAGAGACGGCCCAGACGCCUACGGGAGGCAGCGGUGGGGGAUAUUGCACAAUGGGCGGAAGCCUGAGGCAGCAACGCCGCGUGCGGGAUGACGGCCUUCGGGUUGUAAACCACUUUCGCCUUUGACGAAGCGGGAGUGACGGUAAUGGGUAAAGAAGCACCGGCUAACUACGUG